rnacentral:rRNA from 1 species
UACAUGGGGUGCAAACGUUGCUCGGAAUUAUUGGGCGUAAAGCGCACGUAGGCGGUUCGUUAUGUCGGAUGUGAAAGCCCUUGGCUUAACCGAGGAAGUGCAUCCGAAAACUGGCGAGCUAGAGUACGAAAAGAGGAUCGCGGAAUUCCCGGUGUAGAGGUGAAAUUCGUAGAUAUCGGGAGGAACACCGGUGGCGAAGGCGGCGAUCUGGGUCGAUACUGACGCUGAGGUGCGAAAGCGUGGGGGAGCAAACAGG